rnacentral:rRNA from 1 species
UCGAUCUCAAAUCAAGUAAGA